CGCCGCGGCCGCCCUGCGCCGAGGUGCUAGCGCCGCCGCCGGUGGCUGGCGUCUCGCGGGCCGGCGCGCAGGUCGCGCGCUCAGCUCCCCGGGGCGGAGCGAGGCGGCGGCCACCGCGGCGGCCGGAGGCGGAUUCCUCAGAUACAGAUGGAAUUGACUGGAAAUCUGGGUCUCCAGAAAAUAACUGUGAAGGUAUAGUUCAGUUGUGACCAGCAAAAAGUGGUUGACUGAAUGGUAACUGAGACCGUGGAAAAUGAAGCCACAGAUGGAGGGCAGGGGUUGCUGUGAUGAUAACCAAUGCAUGCCUAGAAAAGAUGCAGGCAUCAUCAUACAAUGAGAAGAACCCUGGAUUUAAAGGCAGAUCACUUUGGUGCCAAUUUGGACUUUGCCACAUUUUACUGAUGUGCCAGUCACUUAGAAUUUCUAUGCCCUGGCUUCCUCAUCUGUAAAUAGGUAUGUAAUAUGAUUAUUUCCCAUAAAUCUUCCUGAAGCAAUUGUCUUUACAAUGCUUUCAAAAUUAACAUUUCAUUAUCUCAUAUGGAAAAUACUUUUGAUCUUUCAAACGUGGCCAUUCAGAUUUGAGUUAUAUGAACUCCCUGUGAUGUGAUGAGCAUGGAGAUUAUUUCUGUGAAAGUAUUUGUUAUUGCUUCUGUAAUAAAGACUGAUUGAGUUUAUAACACACUAUUGUACCCAACCCCUGAAUGGCAGUGCUUAAUACUUACCAGGCAUGCACAUUCUAACAGCCUUUGUGUUAGUAUAAUGGACCAGUGAAUUCUAUUUGCUGCU